rnacentral:misc_RNA from 1 species
UCAAACUUGGUCAUUUAGAGGAAGUAAAAGUCGUAACAAGGUUUCCGUAGGUGAACCUGCGGAAGGAUCAUUAUUGAAUAAAAAUUGGUUUGGCUGUUGCUGAUCCUUAGGGAUAUGUGCACGUCUACCAACUUUUUUAAACCACCUGUGCACCUUUGGUAGAUGCCAGACAAAAUAAUCUCUCCCAGUGUUUUCUACUGGGAGGAGGAUUUGAGGAUAUGCUUUGGCUGCUGGUCUAAGCUUUCCUCGAUAAGUCUGGCUCUGCAUAUUUUUAAAUAUACACUGCAUGUCAUGGAAUGUUAUUUGAUAGGCAUCAUUGCCUUUAAAUACAAUACAACUUUCAACAACGGAUCUCUUGGCUCUCGCAUCGAUGAAGAACGCAGC